UGGUGUUACUGCGAAGGGGGGACGGAGAAGGCUAUGUUAGCCGGGCGACGGUUGUCCCGGUUUAAGCAUGUAGGCUGAUUAUCCAGGCAAAUCCGGAUAAUCAAGGCUGAGGUGUGAUGACGAGGCACUACGGUGCUGAAGUAACAAAUGCCCUGCUUCCAGGAAAAGCCUCUAAGCAUCAGGUAACAUCAAAUCGUACCCCAAACCGACACAGGUGGUCAGGUAGAGAAUACCAAGGCGCUUGAGAGAACUCGGGUGAAGGAACUAGGCAAAAUGGUGCCGUAACUUCGGGAGAAGGCACGCUGGUGUGUAGGUGAAGUCCCUGCGGAUGGAGCUGAGACCAGUCGAAGAUACCAGCUGGCUGCAACUGUUUAUUAAAAACACAGCACUGUGCAAACACGAAAGU
rnacentral:rRNA from 1 species